CCUCAUUCGAUUUCACUGACGCCUGGCCAAGUGUGUGUACUCAACUCCAGACUGAGAGCCCUGGCUUCUGCAGGAUACUCUCAUCAUCACACUCACUCUUCUGAGGUCCUAGCCUGUUUGUGAUCUCUGCUUUCUGACUGCCCGCCCUGUGGAUACCAGGCUUGCUUAACCGGUUCCUACACCUGGGUGUCAGUGUGAUGGCUGGAACUGCCUUUGGUAUAAAUGUGAUGGACCUGCAGUAAUCAUCUUGGAAACAUAAUGCAAUGAGCCAAUACGGCAACUUUACCUUCUGUAUCCCUUCUCCUGGCACUGGUCAUACUUAUCAGAGAUGGAAUAGAGAUUUUCCCCCUUAUUCUUCUAUUUGUUCUAAGAACCAGAAAGAAGAGGUAUUAAACUUAUUAGCAAGGAAAGAAGGCCUUAUGAGUGGUAAGAAACUGUAUUUCCAGCUUAUUUGUAAGAUCUUGCAUUUUGAUGUUAUGAAUUGUCCCCGGGGUUCUUAAAAUAUUAAAUAAAACAAUAAAAAGGUAAUAAAGAACUUUUAAUAGCCUAAGGUAGACAAUAUAGUUCUUCUAGUGGAAAAAUUAUGAUGUAAUAUUAAAUCACUCUUCUUCAUGAAGCUUUUCUUUUUAAGUGA